GUGAACCUGCGGAAGGAUCAUUU
rnacentral:rRNA from 1 species